rnacentral:rRNA from 1 species
UACGAAGGGGGCUAGCGUUGUUCGGAAUUACUGGGCGUAAAGCGCGCGCAGGCGGUUUUUCAAGUCAGUGGUGAAAGCCCGGAGCUCAACUCCGGAAAUGCCAUUGAAACUGCAAAACUUGAGGACGAGAGAGGUGAGUGGAAUUCCCAGUGUAGAGGUGAAAUUCGUAGAUAUUGGGUAGAACACCGGUGGCGAAGGCGGCUCACUGGCUCGUUUCUGACGCUCAGGCGCGAUAGCGUGGGGAUCAAACAGG